GAAGCGGGACAGCAUAAAUUUGAAAUCUCGGGAAUUGUAGUUUAGAGAAGCGUUUUGGCGANGCNUUGGUUUAAGCCCUUGGAAUAGGGUGCAUAGAGGGUGAGAACCCCGUUAAACCUUGACUGGAGCUAUGUGAUACGCCUUCCAAGAGUCGGGUUGUUUGGGAUUGCAGCCCAAAAGGGAGGUAAUUCCUUCUAAAGCUAAAUAUUGGCGAGAGACCGAUAGCGAACAAGUCCGGUGAGGGAAAGAUGAAAAGAACUUUGAAAAGAGAGUUAAAUAGUACGGUGAAAUUGUCAAAAGGGAACGGCUUGAAACCAGUCAUGCUUUGCCGGUAUUCAGCAGGUCACUCCGACCUGUGCACUUUGCCGGUUAGCAGGUCAACGUCAGUUUUCUUCGCAGGUGAAAAGCAGAGGGCUUUCGGCCCAAAGUUAUGCUGUGUGGGGAGACUGAGGACUGCAGGGCGCAUUUGGCUACCCGAGUAAAGUGAAUGCUUUUCAGCACACUACAUGAGAGUGUUGGAAAGAUAAGCUUUUCUUGGUUACGUCUCUACGACCCUUAGGACGUUGACGAAAUGGUUUNAAACCACCCGUCUUAAACACGGCCAAGGGUCUAACAUAUAUGCGAGUAUUUGGGUGGCAAACCCAUAUGCGUAAUAAAGUAUUCAGGUGGGUCUUCGUGCACCAUCGACCGGUCUGAUAUUUUAAUGAUAGAUCUGGGUAACGAGCAUAUCUGUUGGGNCCCNAANAUGGUGACUAUGCCUNAUAGGGCNAGCCANNCGNAA
rnacentral:rRNA from 1 species